AACUUUUAAAGGAUAACAGUCAAUCCAUUGGUCUUAGGAACC
rnacentral:tRNA from 1 species